GACGAACGCUGGCGGCGUGCUUAACACAUGCAAGUCGAACGGAAAGGCCCUGCUUUUGUGGGGUGCUCGAGUGGCGAACGGGUGAGUAACACGUGAGUAACCUGACCUUGACUUUGGGAUAACUUAAGGAAACUGGGGCUAAUACCGGACAGGAGCUCCUGCUGCAUGGUGGGGGUUGGAAAGUUUCGGCGGGUGGGGAUGGACUCGCGGCUGUUUAGCUUGGUGGUGGGGUAGAGGCUUACCAAGGCGUUGACGGGUAGCUGGCCUGAGAGGGUGAUUAGCCGCACUGGAAGUGAGACCCGGCCCAGUGUCCUACGGGAGGCAGCAGUGGGGAAUAGGGGACAAUGGGCGGGAGCCUGAUCCAGCCGGGCCGAGUGGGUGAAGAAGGCCUCCGGGUUGUAAAGCCCGUUUGUUGGGAAAGAAAAGCAGCUGGUUUAUACCCCGCUGUUCUGACGGUACCUAAAGAAUAAGCACCGGCUAACUUCGUG
rnacentral:rRNA from 1 species